CUCUUUCGUUUGCAGGUAUUACCUCAGGCAAAAGCCCUGACUCUAAGCCUGCCCCUGACCCCAAAUGAGGUGAUAGGAGCUUUCUUCUAAAGACUGACCAAAGGACUGGAGCACAAGCUGGGGAGGUGAUGACUUACCUGCCACAACUCGGUAGAUCGCAAUCUGGAACUGGCAGAGUGUUAACACAAUGCCCCAGCAGAGCUGUUCUGUCUCUAAUUUCAAUGAUUAUGUUGUUGCUGGAUCAGUGAAGAGAGCCAUGAAGAACACAAUUACCAGGAAGCCCUGUUGCUCUGCUGGCCCCUUUGUCUCUGGAGCAGGGCAUGUGACUCUGGAGCAGCGGAGCCCGCUGUAAUCUCACGCCCUACCGACACGGGUGCUGUGGACCCGGGCGUGGGAGCGCCUGGCUGCUGGCUGCAAGGGCCAGUCACGUCAUGUUCUGCAGCUGGCAUCCAAAUGCAUCCUGAUGAAUCAGGUGAGAGCAGCUACCUUCUCUUGCCACAACAGCGGCCGAGCAGCCGUGCAGAAGAGGGGCUGUGAAAACCUCCCCGCGUGCAAAAGCACAGGGAAGGGACGAUGUUGUGAAUGAGCUUGCUGUGACAGCACAGCAAUGUUUUAUUGGUCACUGGCAUAACACCAGACUAAAGGGAGAGGGCAUGAGUAUCUUUCAGCUGUGAGUGCUGCUCUCAGGUUUGCUCAGUGCAGGACCAUGGCUAGUGGGCAUGACCCAACCUUGUUAUUUGAUGCAUAGUGGGAAAAGAGAAAUUCGCUUGCUCUCUGCACUCCAAAUCGUGUAUAAACCUAUGACCUCAACAAAAAAUACCAGUAGCAGCAGAGCAGCCAAUAUUUUUAUCAUUAAUUGCUAUCAAAAAUGUCAGCUCAAAGUCAUCAGAUUUGAUAGGCGAGCAUGCUCCAAACUGACGGCUGAAGUGAAUUAUUUGCCUAUUGCGUGAUGCAAAAACAAUGUCUUGCAGCAGAGAACAGACAUUGGCAAACAGACUGACAAGAAGAUAUACUUCUGGGGAAGGCUUCUGAUUUGAUCUGGAAGGAAACAUUGAGCAUAAAUAGGGAGAAAGUUUACCUGCAUGAAAGGCGGGGUUGAGCCAUGGCUUGGACUUCCUUACUGUGCUGGAGAACAGUGUGAAACAUACCUGCUAUUUUACUCCCUUUGAGCUGUUCUCAUUGCAAAAAGGUACCAGACACCUCAGAAGGUUUUUUAAGUAAUAAAGCAUUUUCCACCCCCAUCCCUGGUGCAUCCAUUCAUCAGUGACUAAUGAGCACAUAAAUUCCAGCAUGUGAAGAAAAAAACCUUCUUCUGGGUGUUAAGCAGAAUUUUCCCUGCCCAAGGAUCUGCAGCACAAAUCUUUCUGGUCUUUCUGUGCUGAGGGUCUAGGCAUGGGCAGACAGUACAUGGUGCAGCACUGGCUAUUAAUGUAUUGCUAUAAAUGUAACUACUAGGUACUACAAUGUGAAUCAGGACCUGUUUCAAGACUGGUAUAUCCAUGAACAACAUCAUCCAGGACAUGUUUCUGUGGGAUUUGGUGACUGUCUUUAUUUCACACAGUGGGAAAAACCCCAUUUGGAAGCAGGAUUCCAGUGAAGGGAAAGUUAGCUGUGCCUGCCAGGGAUCUCUUUUGCCCCCAAAAAUUCAGACAUCACGGGACAUAAGCAGAAAAUGAAAGGGAACCAGCGAGGGGAAAACCAAACAGGCUGGGGUCUUCUUGCCACUUCUUUU